CCUACGGGAGGCAGCAGUGAGGAAUAUUGGUCAAUGGACGAGAGUCUGAACCAGCCAAGUAGCGUGAAGGAUGACUGCCCUAUGGGUUGUAAACUUCUUUUAUAUGGGAAUAAAAUGUUCCACGUGUGGGAUUUUGUAUGUACCAUAUGAAUAAGUAUCGGCUAACUCCGUGCCAGCAGCCGCGGUAAUACGGAGGAUACGAGCGUUAUCCGGAUUUAUUGGGUUUAAAGGGAGCGUAGGUGGUUUGUUAAGUCAGUUGUGAAAUUUUGCGGCUCAACCGUAAAAUUGCAGUUGAAACUGGCAGUCUAGAGUAUAGUAGAGGUGGGCGGAAUUUGUGGUGUAGCGGUGAAAUGCUUAGAUAUCAUGAAGAACUCCGAUUGCGAAGGCAGCUCACUGGACUGCAACUGACACUGAGGCUCGAAAGUGUGGGUAUCAAACAGGAUUAGAUACCCGGGUAGUC
rnacentral:rRNA from 1 species